GUCAGGAUGGCCGAGUGGUCUAAGGCGCCAGACUCAAGGCUUCGCUCCUUCCCUGUGCUGGGUGUUCUGGUCUCCGAAUGGAGGCGUGGGUUCAAAUCCCACUUCUGACA
rnacentral:tRNA from 1 species